CAGAAUAAACGCUGGCGGCGUGCCUGACACAUGCAAGUCGAGCGUGAAAGGUCUCGGACUAAGUAAAGCGGCGAACGGGUGAGUAACGCGUGAGAAUCUACCUUCAGUGAGGAAUACCUUCGAGAAAUUGAAGUUAAUACUGCAUACGUCCCUCCGGGGAGAAAGAUGGCCUCUUUGCUGUCGCUGAAAGAUGAGCUUGCGUACGAUUAGCUAGUUGGUAGGGUAAAGGCCUACCAAGGCGAAGAUCGUUAGCCGGCCUGAGAGGGUGUACGGCCACACUGGAACUUAGACACGGUCCAGACUCCUACGGGAGGCAGCAGUGAGGAAUCUUGCACAAUGGGCGAAAGCCUGAUGCAGCGACGCCGCGUGGAAGGAUGAAGGUCUUAGGAUUGUAAACUUCUGUUAAGUGGGAAGAAAUGUUCCGUUAUAAUACAGCGGAAAAAUGACGGUACCAUUAGAGAAAGCACCGGCUAACUUCGUGCCAGCCGCAGC
rnacentral:rRNA from 1 species